GCUCGAAUGGUGUAAUGGUUAUCACGUCUGUCUCACACACAGAAGGUUCCAGGUUCGAUCCCUGGUUCGAGCA